CGGCUUCCUCUGUGUGAAGGCGCUGCGGAGCUGCUAACGGUGCGGUGAAUGGAGGGGUCGCAUGAAGCCCGGCUCCGUGCGGCCGAGGGCCCGCGUUGCCAGUAAGAGGUGCGUUCUCCCGUAUCUUUGGCCGGGUGGGCUGCUGAAGCGAGGUGCCAGAAAUGUCCUGGUACUGUUCGAUGGCUGCGUUGGUUGUGGCCUGGCCCUGCCGUGCUGGAGGCUGGCAGCACGCAGAGGUGAGCAGCACGAGGCCCUUGGUGGGGCUCCCUGUGUGCUCAGGAGGCUGUCAGAAGGCUGUGAGAGUGGUUUGGUGUUUGUUACCAAAAGGUGAGAAUUGCUGCCAGCCUGUUACCGUGAUAUUUUCAUUUGCAGGGUAUUUAUCUUACCCGCAUCGUUUGGAGGAGCUGCAGUGGGUGCAGCUCGGUGUGAGUUCUGUGGGACGAGUGAGAUGGCAGAGAUGAAGUUGGAUCCAGUGUAAGGUGUGAACAAAGGUGACCCCUAGGCUGAAGUUUCACCAAGGAGGGCUCGGUCUGGAAUGUGGUUUAAUAGCACAGUUGAAGAUCUUUGGAAAAGUAGAGCAUCUGAGGUGUAUGGUAACCACUGAGUUCUGGCCUGAAGCACUGAUUGAGCAGCUGGGGAAAGGACCUGUCAGCCCUGGGAGCACAGAGUCCUUAACGGAGCUGGGCAGCAGUGCUGGGCUGAGCUCAGCCCACCGUGGUGGGAAGCAGUCGUGGGGACCCGUGGUCAGUGCGCUGUUGGAAGAUGAAGAUAUUCUGUUCUUGUCUGUACCUUCUGGUUUUUAAUGUUCGAGUACAAAGAAGUUGAUGUUGUGCUGCAUGUUUGUGUCACAAGGUUCUGUCUUCUAACACUGUUUCAAGUAGGAGAGAAGAACUAAAAAAAAAAAAGACGCUGGGAAGGGAUGAAUACUUCUGCAGCCAUUUGGGUAACCUAAAGCAUGAAGACCAUGAUGCUGGUAUUUACGAGGCCUGCACACCAGGACUGUGAGUGCAAUUGGAGCUAAAGGAGCCUCGCUGUUCUGCUGGGGCUUUAUGACAACUUCAGGAGCAUUUGACAAGUUCUACUCUAUUCAAUGGGAAGAAAAAGGAAAUGUAGUUUUUAUGCUUUACAGAAUGAUUAGGUUUUAAUUUAGCACAAGUAUCCCAGACCAACAUGGUGUAUUUCUUUCUUAAAGUCAAAAUAAGAAGCAUAUAUGGUAGAAAGAGAGUACUGAGCAAAACUUGCUCCAGUGGAUGUGAGAGCUUUUGUGUCUGACAGUUUAAGUAGCAAAGAAAGUGAGGACAGUUCUUGGGCAGGGGACUUGAAGAGGAAUGUGAUUCAUGGGGCACAGUGACUGGUGUAAUUAGCAGUGCAGCUGCUGUAGUGCCCUGUGCCAGUGCUAAAAAAGCCUGUCAUGGCCCAUGCUCGGCUGGUCGCAGUGUAAGUGAUAACGAUGGCAGCAGCAGUGCCAACUCCAGGCUGCUGAAUGCGAGUGGAGCAGUUUCUGCUAGGUUCCAGAUUGGCGCAAAACCAUCAUGGGGUUUCCUGAAGUGUUUAGGCUGAGGAAAAACUCUGGUAUUGGAGGUGGCAGUGUUUUGUUUUGUGUUUCUUUUAAAGAAUAGUAAAAGAGUAGCAACGCAGAGGGAUUGAAUUAAUCUGAUAAUGAGUAAAACCUGUCAAAUUCAGGCAAGGAAAACCAAAGACUUGAACACCUUCAGUUUUAACAUUUUCAGCACGUGAGGUUUUGCUUCUGUAAUAAAUCCAUUUGUUUCAGUGUUCUAUUAAAUGAGUUUAAAACUUUUUGCUGUGAUAGAACUCUCUAACUGUCAUUCUGUAAUAUCUGAAGCGUCUGACCUGUGGUUUGGUGUUAGUUUCCAUUUAAGCCAAGUGACAUAUUUCAGACUUGACCCAGAGUGGAAUCUGGAGUGUGGAGCUCUUGAAGCACAGGGACAGAAGAAUGGGAAGGAAUGUUCUGCUGGACCCAGGAUUCUUUCUCUGUAAAUGGCUAGACCAAGUGAGGAAAAGCUUUCACUGGAGAGUGAGGGGAAUUUUGAAAUACUAACCACAAAAUGUUAUCCUCUGUCACUAAUGUGCAUCAUCAGAACUCACUUCUCUAGCACUUGACAAAUGCAAUUUGCAUUUAAAAUUGAAGUGGAUUGCCAAAAGUCUUACAUCAGUCUCACAUCAAAGACAGCAGAAUUUCCUAGAAUUCAAGGACUCUGAUACUUACUGUCAGAGCAAUCUGUUUAACUGCCUAGCCCCAACAUCUGCAUUAGCAUCUCCUACCAUUCCACCUGUGCAGUAGAAAUAAUCGUUUUGUCCUAUUUAAAAGAACACUUAGCUUCCUUCCUAGCUGUUCUAAGUGUAACACAACCAUAAAUGCAUACACAUGCAGUGUUCCUAAUUUCUUUGUCUUCCUUAUCCUCUUCAAAGAGUUUCUUGCUCUUUUUCAACCUUUUACUUGUCUUUGAUUUCAUUUCUGUCAAUUCCAUCUCCUGUUCUUAUUAACGUGCCUCCCUCAAGUUUGUUUGGCAUUCUUCAGCAGCGGUGUUUAUGGCUCAAUUCAAGAAAGAGAUUAAAGAGGGAAUCACAAGCUCCUGCAUCCUAAGGUAUCAAAGGUUGUUAGCUAAUUUAUGAAAACAUUCUGUAAUCAUUCCUCGUUGUCUCUGUUGACUGAUGGUACGAGUUCCACAGGCUUAAAUCCAGGCACAAAGAUGAGUCCUAAAAUAACACUACAGAGUUUCUCCUUGUGCAGCAAGAGACUCUGCUCAUCCCAGGCACCUGCUGACUGCAGCCUGAGUGACAGUAAGUGGUGUAGUUCUGUGGCUUAUGUGUCCAGCAUGUAUAUAUGUGUACACUGGGGCUCAGCACUAAUAAAGUCACCUUUUGUGAAGGCUGUAUUGCAUAUUGUCUUUGUCAUAGGUGGUUGUUAAUUUAUGGAAUGACAAUCACAUGGUAUUUUUGGAAAUGCCAUUAAAUACUAAGAUUCUCAGUUUGCUUGAAGAUUUGGUGCUUUUUUUUUUGUUUUAAUAACAAAAAUCUCAAGCCUGAGAAUGGUAGUUCAGUCCUUUUCCCCUGGCAUCUUUGAGCCUUUUUCCAAAAUGAUAAGCAGGAUGAGAACUGAUUGUUUUAAAAAUUAAAAUAAUCUCCAUUUAAAGCCUGUGAAGUAAAAAUAGUUCUAGUUUUAAAAUGAAAAAUACUAUUUUAGAUGUUACAAAAGAAGUUGUGUUCACCUCAGAGCUGACUCUUCCCUCUCAUCAACAAUUAGAUAUUCACAGUCUCCAGAGGAGGUUAGCAAAUAGACUGGUUCAGUUGGAAGGGGCCUACAAAGGUAAUCGUGUCCACUUGCAUUACCAGCUUAGGGCUGACCAAAAGCUAGAGCAGGUUUUGAGUGUCUUUUAGUGUUUUGAUUGAGGUUUUUUAUUUGGUUGUUCUUUGUUUUUUUUGCUAAUGUGUAGAGUAGUGUGAUGUGUGCCCGCUGCUUUUUUGCCUAGUUAAAUAAUUCAGCAGUUAAACUCCAGGGUAAAUCACAGGUGGUAAUGGGAUAUGAAACUCUUGUUUUACCCAGCUCCCUGGGCAAGACAGGAUUUUGCAGAUUUUAUUGGUUCAAAACCUCACUGAGGGAGAGGGAAAUCUGACCAAUGGAUUGAUAACUGAGUAAUACCUGUGAGAUGUACAAAGUAGGAGGAAGAACUGAGUCUGUUCUAAAGAUGAGUAAAUUGAGAUGAGGUAAGUGAUCUGCACAUCACAUGGGAAACCUGGAGAUAUAUAUGUAUAAAUAUAUCCAAAUGUGAACAGACCACAAAUUUCCUAUCCAUCUGAAAGUGCUUGGUGCUGCUUGGACGUGCAGGCUGGUCUUUGCAUAUUCCGUGUGCCUUCUGCCAUUUUCAUGCCCGGUGACAGAAAUAGAUGCAGCUGCUCUUAAGACAUUUAGGAAGAAAAUGAAAACUUAAUAAAUUGAAGACUUGUGCUAGAAUAUGUGGGUGUUGUCUUUGUUCAAAGGGAGAGCGAAAGGGAAGGAAGUAAACUCUUUAGCUUAGAAGUUAUCAAAACAGAGUUACUUUUAAAGUAGAAGGGCAUUUUUAGAAACCUACAGGGCAAGAUUCUUAUUGAUCUGCACCAGAAAUGCAUUUAAGGGGGAAGUAUUGUACUGGAAUAAGGAGAAUAGAUGGUGCAGUGAAGGAGGCUGAGCAGGUACUGGGUGUGGUGGCCUGGCUUGUAUUGUUGAUGGAAUUGUUGCCACUGACCUCAUGAGCAUCUUGAUUUUGGCUUGUGAGCCACUUACAGUUCCGUUUCUGCAGUGAGGAUAAAGAGCAAUCAACAGAUUUGCACAGAAGCUGCUGAUAGACAUCAGCCAUGAGAUCUAGCCUGGCAUUUAAAUAAAGCUUAAUUAGACACAUGUUUUUCUGGAAAUAUUUGAGAAUUUCUGGUGGUCACUCUAUGGCAUUUUCCUUUCUAGGUGCACAUGGAGUCUGUGAUCAGCAGAAGCAGGAGUUUUAUGAGGAGCACGCGCUCUGUGUCCUCUAAAGCUGUAAUUCAACUGUGUUUCGAGUCUGCUGAGGCAGUGGGAGCUACAGGGGUGAGGCAGGACUUGGGCAAGUAGCGUGCAGUUCUACUUCAGUCGAUGCUGGGGUGAGGGUCCCUACCUCCUUCCCCAUGGGAAGGUACCCUAACCCAGGGAACGCUUCGUGCAGCACUGAAAUGGAGGCCUUCGCAGAAAGAUAAUCCUCAGUAUGCUUCUCCAGUGAAAUGUAUUACACGUUUGUUAGUUUUUGGGUAACAGCCAAAUCGUUCGUUGUCCCUCCCCACACACGCUUCCAUUUAUAAAUGAAGUCUUCAGUCUUUUGAAUGUCAUACAAAACUGUUCAAAACCAGACUUGAGCAAUUGAAAUUCAAUUAGUUCAAUCAGAGCGAUUCAAUUGACACAGCUGAGUUCUGCAAUCUGAACAAAAGAUUUUGCUGUAAUUGUGUAGGAAUAUAUAAAUGCUGAUAUGAUUGUCUUGUCCUCGGCCCUCCAGAAGGAUGUAUUGCAUUUUAAAACUUACUGGCAUGCACCCCAUUUUCUACUUGAUGCUUCUGUGGUGCCUCAGCCCCUUAUCGAAUUGGAGGUGAAUACAAGCAAGUGUGAUUCCUGUAGGCAAACCUGCUGAAGGUUAGGCAUUAAUAUGUAAUGUAUUGCUAAUUUGGUGAAUUGAGUUGGUCAUCCAGUCUGUCUUGAGACAGAUGAUCUUGUAAUAUCCAUUUGCACAUGAUGUUUCUGAUGAAUCAUUUGAGGUUGUGAUUCACAGCUUGACUGGAGUGAUGUUCAAGUCAAAAAAUGUACUUUAUCUCAGAGCAGGAAGGGCUAUGCUGUCUGCUUUUCUUGAAUCUACACCUGUCAGUCUGCAAUGUACAAUCGAGUGCAAAGCCAGGAGAAAGUAAGUUUACUCCCCAGAAUGAGAGCCAAGAAGCAGAAGUUUCCUUGGUCAUCUUGCUUCUGCCACAAGCAGCCAUGUUCUUAGACCUGUUUUCCAAUGGUACUGUGACUGGUUGUCACCAGGUUUUUUUUCUUCCUACUUCUUUCUUGACCGUGUCUUUUAGGUUUUCUGUAGGUGAUGGAAGACCAGAAUUGUUCAUCUCACGUUCCUCAUUUCUGCAUGAGCAUGAAACCAAUGGUCUUACCAGCAGUUCUGGUGUUACCUAGCUCUGUUUUCCUUCAGAAGUUAAAAUCUCAUGUUGUCUGUGUAAAUGAAGCAUCAGCUCAUGCAUCACGUAAUUAAAGCAGAGAUUCUCAUCUUUCUCUGCCAGUCCCCCUUCAUCACUGUCUCAGGCACAGCAGAUGAAACAGCCUUAUUUGCUUAUCAUGCAAAUUCAAAUCAGGCAUCGUCUGAAAUAAGACUCUCUAAUCCUUCCUAGGGUUGUCUAGACUUCCAUAUUUCUAUGUGAGAUUUUAGAGAUGAGUUCCUUGGCCAUCUGCACAUGUAAAACUUCUGCAAUGUUUCACUGUUUAAUUAAUCACCCCUUCCAACGUUGUUUUCCCCAACAUGACAUAUUUACUCCAUGCAGAGUGGUGGUGUGCAGGGUGGUGGUUUGAUAGUGCAGCCCUUUCUUCUCCCAGAUUGCAGCGUGCCAGCCUCUGUUGUCUGCUUGUUGCAUUUAAGAUCAUUAUUUUCAUAUGAGGAAGAAUAUCACACAAACAGCCUCUUCUCCUAAGCAACCCUUACUUUACUGUAACGAUUGCAGAUGUCCUUGGUUAUCUCCUUCCAUGCAGCUGGACUGCUCAGUGCUGUCUUGCUAUUUCCUUGGAUAUUCCUACCUUCUAUUCUGCUGUUAUCUCGUGUUACAUUCUUGUGCCUCUUGUGGAAUUUCUCUCACGUGUUUAUUCUGCCCCAGGACCCGGUGUGACUCAGAGGUUGGACUUGAUAGACAUGAUAGUAAAACAAAUAAUGAUGGAACAUGAAAAAAUCAGACCUUGACUGGCAAGUACGGAGAGUGAGCUGGUCUAUAAUUCCAUUCAGGGCAGGGUCAGCCACGGUGUUCUUCUGUGUUCCGAGUGGAUGUUUGUGUAGGCUGCUCUUGGAGGUCCCUGAUAAUGGAAUUUCUGCUCCCCAAUAAUUUGUUCCAUUACCUUGCUGUCCUCGCUCGUCGUAUUGUCCGACCCGAAUCUUCCAUUUCUUUUCAUAUGGGCGAUGAAUGAGAAAAAGGCGUUUCCAUUUCCUUUUGGUACUGUUAAUAUUUAGUGGAAAGUACUUUCAGAUUUCGUGGUCUCUUUGUCGGGGCAGCCACCUCUGUUUCCUCGUUCUCUCCCUGCAUGUUGUUUUCUGAGCAGGCGGUUGCUCUGACCGACUUUCUGGCUGUAACCUGUGUGAGGCAGGCUUAGGGCACAGCAUUCAAAGCUGGGUGCUUUACUCCAAUGAGAUCUAGCUUGUGUUUGUCUUUGUUCCCCACAUAGUGCAGUGCUGCUGUCAAACUGAAAAAAUAACCACUGUUGACUCAUGCACACCUGUAAUUUCUCUUUUUUUCCUGCAGUGUUCUUUUUCUUUCUGCCUGGCGUUUGUGGUGGAAGUGGCAGCAAUAAUAAGUAAACUGGAGGUAAUUCUCGAUGAGGAUCUGAGUCUGGAUGGUCAGUGUGUCAGUGCCAAACUAUCUGAUUGGCAUGAGGAAACUGCAUGGCUUUGGGCUGGAAACACAAGUGGAAAAGAUGCUGAGGCUGUCCAGACGUCCGUGGUGGGAUGUAAGGCGUCUGAUUUUUUUUUUUUUCAUGGUGUUUUGGAUUUAUCCUUGCAGCAGCGUUAUCUGUUAUUUCAAAAUUACUUCUCUGACAUUUGUCCCUCGGGUAGUGUAGGUAGGAGGAGGAACUUUAUCCUUUUUCAACUUCUACUUUUGGGAACCUGAGCAAAAGUGAUAUCACAGAUACCUGUGUACGUGAUAGCAUCCAUUACAAAGGGACAACGUAAACAAGUGUAACUGUAUCAGGUGCUUUGAAGAGUCUGCAGGCCACGUGGCUGAAAUCUGUCCUUCCCACCCACACAACUCAGUGCUGAGGCAGUUGAGGAACAUGCUCUGCCAAUACCAGGCCAAGCAAAACCUCACCCGGAUUCUCAGACUGAUAAAAACAAUACUGGAGGAAAUGAAGGAAGAUCUGAACAGAAGAAUUUCUUAUUAUUAAUCACUAUCUGUACUGAGUGCAAGUAUUGCUAUUCUAGGCCUCCGAAAAUGACACGUUAUUUUCCUUUCCUUUUAAAUAUGACAAAAGCAAGCCUCAGACUAAGUAGCAGAUACUGAAUAUUCCAAAAGGAUUUUUCAUCUGCUAAACAUAAAGACUUCUCUCCAAAAAGAAGCAGGCUGGUUAGGCCGUAUAUGUUUGUUUUUCUCCAUGCAGGAUGUGUUUUCCCACUUCAGCUUAAGCUGGAUAAACAGUUGCGUAAAUGGAAGCACUUUCUCUUAACAGAAAUACUAUUACUAAAAAGUCAUUUAAUCAACUGAGUUUCACAGUAUUCACAGUUCACCCUCUUGUGUGCUAGAGUUCAGCACUGUACAAACAGGAUCAGAAAUUCUUUGCUUACCUAGCAGCAAAUUGGCUGCUUAGUCAGAUACGCCGAGCACACUGCUGAGCAUACAAUGCUGAAAUAAAGUUUUGAUAAUUGA